AAAACUGGAAACUCUGCAGCAGAUUAUUCUUCAGGUUGAUACUAACUUGGCAAUGUUGCUGUUCCGAGACCCCGCUGCCGCUGCCGCUGCGGACGCCAUGGAGACCGUCAAGGCGCAGACUGUUGUGUGCCGCCUCUUCCAUGGGCGUCCACGCCAUGGAGCUCCUUAAGACACCCUCAAUGAUGACCAAGGUGGAGUGCAGGACAUCGAGGACAUGAUAUGAACCGCCGUUCCAGACGCCCGCCUCGGGGAAGGAGCACUCCAUCCCGCUGAUAACAAUGUUUUGAAAGAGGAGAUGACGGAUUUGGUGGAGGAGAGGAACUCCCUCAAGGACGAAAAGAGGAGCCCUGUGUACAGAAAACUUGUGAUGCUGCUUUGUCAAGUGCUUGUGUGGUGGUUUCGAUUUGACCUAGAAGACCGCCGCUUCGCUCCUCCGGGUCUGCUUAUUCCCGGGUCGCCGCUGCUCCCACGAUGGAGCAAACGCUUGUCUUGUUUUUCUGUAGCAUUCACCAUGCAUGUCUCGUGUGAUCCUUGUGCAGGCCGUAUUGCACUAAUUGUACUACGGUGGUCUGAUGACACCUUCCCUUGUCCAUGGAGGAUCCUCAAUAGGCAAGAACAAGUGCCACCGCUGAUCCGAAGCUCGUGCCAGGGGAAGGGAUUCUGUCAUUGCCUUCUAUGUGGGUGUGUUGGUGUCCUCGGGCGUAGACCACUGUGUGCAGCCUCUUCCAUGGACGUAGCAGCUGCUCCGACCCCGCUGCCGACGCCAUGGAGAUCGUCAAGAUUGCAUUCCUCGGGAAGAUACUCCUUUCGUCCAUCAAACCUACCGGACAUGAUGGAAAAUCUCCAUCGCGCACGACACCGGUCAUUUUCUCUUGCCAAGCGGUGCUGCAGAAGUUGACGCGGUUUGGGCUUGAAGAUGCACACGAUGGCACCGUCGUCCUCGUGCUUUCUUCGCUGAUGAAGAUGCACUGGAUGGCGUCGUUGUCCUCGGGCUCUCUCCGCUGAUGAAGAUGCACUGGAUGGUGCAGUCGUCCUCGGGCUUUCUCCGCUGAUAAAGAUGCACUGGAUCUCGGCGUCAUCCUCGAGCUUUCUCCAUUGAUGGGUUAGGUUUCAGAAUUAAGCCAUUUAUGUAGUAGUUUGGCUCUGUCAUGUUGUAAUGUUUGUGAUGGAAGGACGCGAAGUACCUGUGCUUCCUGGGAUGUGUAGUGGACUCGAGAUGUUUUUUAUCACCUCAUCUGAGAAGUAGUUGAUGCGUGCGUGUUC